UUCUUUUUUUUUUUUUUUUUUGAGAUGGAGUCUCGCUCUGCCGCCCAGGCUGGAAUGCAAUGGCAUGAUCUCGGCUCACUGCAACCUCCACCUCCCGGGUUCAAGCCAUUCUCCUGCCUCAGCCUCCCAAGUAGGUAAGACUACAGGCAUGUGCCACCAUGCCUGGCUAAUUUUUUGUAUUUUUAGUAGAGACAGGGUUUCACCGUGUUGGCCAGGCUGGUUUCAAACUCCUGACCUCAAGUGAUCCGCCCGCCUUGGCCUCCCAAAGUGCUGAGCCACUGUGCCCAGCCGAUGGCUGCAAAUUCUGUGCUCCUCUUUCCAUUGAGCGGGGGAGUUUAUUCCUUUCUUAGUACCUGGGCUUGGGCCCAGGACUCACGUGACCCAUGGAACAGAGGUCCAGCUGGUAUUCCAUUGCCUGGCUAUGGCAACUCGUUCAAGAGUGGUUUGGUGACCUGAGUAAGUCCAGUGAGAUUCAGUCCUGGGACUUUUGCUGGAACAACUAGACAAAGAAAACUCCUUUCCAGUUGUGAUGUCCAGCUGGGAAGAUGAUGUGAAUCUGGAGUUCUAAGUACCAGAAGGAUCCUAAGAAUGAAGCCACAGCAGAGGAAGGUGAGUGGGGAGAUGUGCAACAACAGCUAUUGAGGCUGGAUGGUAUCAUAUGGGCCUCUGCAUCAUCAAUGCUGGAAGCCCAGACAACUUGGUUACGUGAGCCAGCUAAUUCCCUUUAUGGCUAUGACAAAUAUUAAAAAGUAGGCUCACUCAACAGCUAUUCUCAAUCCCUCUCCAGCUCUCCUUCCUCUACUAACUACAGAGUCUGAAACCUAAAUUGUUAUUUCCCAGCCUCCUUUGCAGCCAAGGAUGGCCAUGUGACCUUUCUGGCCAACCAGGGUCCCUGGAGAGGGUGGCCCUUCCUGAAUAAAAGGAAAUUCUCAUGAGGAGAAGGCAGUGUUUGGCCCCCUUCCCUGCUGCUUGGAAAGUGGGUGUGAGGCUGGCAGGUGCAGCCAACUUGCAGCUCUCAACGGUAAGCAUGAGGGGCAGAGCAAGUGCUGAGGGUGAUGGGACCAAAACACAGAAGGGCCCAGGUUUCUGAUGGCACUGCUGGGCUGCAGCUCCAGUCCCAGGCUGCCUCCUGACACCCUGCUGAGUGAGAUCAACAAAGCCCUGCCCGAGCAAGCCCUGCUGCUUGUCUGCAGUGGAGUAUGAGUGUGCUGACACAUGGAGUGAGACAGAGGAGCCCAAACCAGUGCAAGGAGACAACUGGAAAAAUAUUGAAAAGGGGAGGGAGUGGCCCUAGCCAAGUGAUGCAGAGAGGCAGGGUAGGAGUGGGCUAGGGCCCAGGUCGACUCACUCACCUUCCAUUCUACCCCGCCUCACCCUCCUAUACUGCAGAGGCUAGCAAGCUAAAGCCACCCUUCCUCCCGGAUCCCUUGCAGCUAUGAUUCUGGAUGUGAAUUAGAUCCUACCAAUGGGAUUUGCUCCCAUGAGAUUUGGAAAGCAGCUGUCUUCUUGCUGCUCUUGGCAGUCAUUGCUGGCAAGUGACCUUGUGGGUGUCAAUAAGCAGUUGCAGCAGAGGACGCAGUGCUGGACCCUGUGUCGUAGUAUCUGGACUCUGACUUCCUGAGGCUCAAGAUUCGGGUACAGCAGUGGUGGUAGCAUCCUAACCCCUGGGUGGCAGCCACAGUGGGGGGUUUAGAGGUGGCCCCUGACUCCUCACCUUCCUGGCUGUGGCCUCGGUGGCAGCCCCUCUUGGUCAGUUCUGUGGUGUCCUGGGAGUCAUUUCUGGAAACUGGCCCUGGAGCACGCUCCCUGAGUACAUCUUAUGAUGUUGUAGGUGCUGAAUUUCCUAUGUUCAAUCUCUUUCUGCUUAAGAUACCUAAUGUGGCUUCUAGUCCUUACACUGAAACAUGACUGAUACAAGGACCAAGAAGUGACCGUUGGAUUUAGAAACCUGGACGUCAUACGUAGGGCUGCCAUGUCAAAGGACCACAGAUCGGGAGGCUUCAACAACAGGAAUGUACUUUUUCACAGUUCUGGAGUCUGGAAGUCCAAGAUCAAGGUGUCAGCAGGGUUGUUUCUUCUGAGGGCUCCCCUUGGCUAAUGGUGGCCGUCUUCUCCCUGUGUCCCCACAUGGGCUUCCCUCUGUGCGUGUCUGUGUCCUAAUCUCCUCUUCUUAUAUGCACACCAGGCAUAUUGGGUGAGGGUCCACUCUCAUGACCUCACUCUACCUGAAUCACCUCUUUUUUCUUCUUCUUCUUUUUUUUUUUUUUUUUUUUUUGAGACAGAGUCUCGCUCUGUCUCCCAGGCUGGAGUGCAAUGGCACGAUCUGGGCUCACUGUAGUCUCUGCCUCCUGGAUUCAAACAAUUCUCCUGCCUCAGCCUCCUGAGUAGCUGGAAUUAUAGGCAUGCACCACCAUGCCUGUCUAAUUUUCGUAUUGUUAAUAGAGACGGGGUUUCACCAUAUUGGCCAGGUUGUUCUUGAAUUCCUGACUUCGUGAUCCACCCACCUUGGCCUCCCAAAGUGCUGGGAUGAAUCACGUCUUUUAAGACCUUGUCUCCAAAUACAGUCACAUGUGGAGUUACUGGGGCUUCAACAUAUGAAUUUUAGGGGAACACAAUUCAGUCUGCAGUUCCCCUAAAAACACGCUGUAAUCCACAGAAGUGGGUCAAACACCAGGAGGACACUGCUGUGGAAGAGGAUGGAGAUUUAGCUUCCCAGGUUUUGGUUCUCUGGGGUCCCUGGUCCCCAGCCCUCCUCGGCCCAGUCUCCAGAUUCCCCAUCUUUGUGUGCCAAUAAUGGUGUCCAAUCUCACUCUCACUGACCAUGGAGGAAACCAGGGUGCAGUGGGUGUUUCCUGGAGGCGAGGGCAGGGGAGGGGAGGUAGGGUCGGUGGAUGGCAGCCGGAGGGGUCUCGAAGACAAAACCCCUGGGCUGCUUCUUUGUAAGAUGGGAGAGACCGGAUGUGAGAUGAGGGAGACAGUAGAACGAGGCUGAGGACAUUGGAGAAAGAGCAGAGUGACACCCUAGAAGUGGGGAGAGGAAUACAAGAUAAAAAGGAGAAAGCCAGCCCCAUCACACUCAUGCUGACAUUUAUCCAGAGUCUGCUACGUGCCAGUUUCCUUCUAGGUACAUGACACACAUACUUGCACCCCGUGCUCAUGGCUAUCCAGAGAGGGAGGUGCCCCCAUCAGCAAUGGGAGAGCAGUUUGCAGAGGUGAAGCCACUCACUGGGGACACACGGCCAGAUAGCAGAGGAGGCGGGUGGAGACACAGCCUGACCCCAGAGCUCGUGAGUGGGAGAGGUAGAAAGUUGGAGGAAGAGGGCACAGUCAUCUUGAGAUGGGCUUGAGUAGAGUGGAGACUGAGGUCACCUCUGGAAGAAGAAGUUGGUGUUUGAGAAUGGGGUUGGUGGGAAGUGGGGAGUAGGGGUGAGAGAGAGCCCCCUAGCAUUCAGUGAGGGUCCUUGCUGAGGCUGAAAGUGGAGUUUGCCCCCUAGACUUUCUCCCACCACCAUCUGCUGCUGCUGGGUGGAUGGGGUCUUGAGCUGCAUUCCUUCCCUGGGUGGCCUCCUGCUGCUUUAAAUACUGACUUAGUCUCUGGAGUCCUAAAAGAAAUGGAAGAAAACACAAAUAAACGGAAUGAUAUCUUGUGUUCAUGAAA